ACAAUGGGCGCAAGCCUGAUCCAGCCAUGCCGCGUGUGUGAAGAAGGCCUUAUGGUUGUAAAGCACUUUAAGCGAGGAGGAGGCUACUUUAGUUAAUACCUAGAGAUAGUGGACGUUACUCGCAGAAUAAGCACCGGCUAACUCU
rnacentral:rRNA from 1 species